rnacentral:rRNA from 1 species
GACGAACGCUGGCGGCGUGCCUAAUACAUGCAAGUUGAGCGCUGAAGGUUGGUACUUGUACCGACUGGAUGAGCAGCGAACGGGUGAGUAACGCGUGGGGAAUCUGCCUUUGAGCGGGGGACAACAUUUGGAAACGAAUGCUAAUACCGCAUAAAAACUUUAAACACAAGAUUUAAGUUUGAAAGAUGCAAUUGCAUCACUCAAAGAUGAUCCCGCGUUGUAUUAGCUAGUUGGUGAGGUAAAGGCUCACCAAGGCGAAGAUACAUAGCCGACCUGAGAGGGUGGUCCGCCCACUUGGGACUUGGGCACCGCCCCAACUCCUACGGGGGGCCACCGUAGGGGAUCUUCGGCCAUUGACCGAAGUCUUACCCCACCACGCCGCGUGGGUUGAGGAGGUUUUCCGGUCGUUAAACCCUGUUUGUUGGGAAGGACGUUGAUGAGGGUGAAAAGCUCAUCUAGUGACGGUAACUACCCAGAAAGCGCCGGCUAACUUCGUG